rnacentral:rRNA from 1 species
UACGGGGGGAGCAAGCGUUGUUCGGAUUUACUGGGCGUAAAGGGCGCGUAGGCGGUCAGCACAAGUCAGUUGUGAAAUCUCCGGGCUUAACUCGGAAAGGUCAACUGAUACUGUGCGACUAGAGUGCAGAAGGGGCAACUGGAAUUCUCGGUGUAGCGGUGAAAUGCGUAGAUAUCGAGAGGAACACCUGCGGCGAAGACGGGUUGCUGGGCUGACACUGACGCUGAGGCGCGAAAGCCAGGGGAGCAAACGGG